rnacentral:rRNA from 1 species
GACGAACGCUGGCGGCGUGCUUAACACAUGCAAGUCGAACGAAGGGCGAUGGAAGCUUGCUUCUAUCAAUCUUAGUGGCGAACGGGUGAGUAACGCGUAAUCAACCUGCCCUUCAGAGGGUGACAACAGUUGGAAACGACUGCUAAUACCGCAUACGAUCUAAUCUCGGCAUCGAGGAUAGAUGAAAGGUGGCCUCUACAUGUAAGCUAUCACUGAAGGAGGGGAUUGCGUCUGAUUAGCUAGUUGGAGGGGUAACGGCCCACCAAGGCGAUGAUCAGUAGCCGGUCUGAGAGGAUGAACGGCCACAUUGGGACUGAGACACGGCCCAGACUCCUACGGGAGGCAGCAGUGGGGAAUCUUCCGCAAUGGACGAAAGUCUGACGGAGCAACGCCGCGUGAGCGAUGACGGCCUUCGGGUUGUAAAGCUCUGUUAAUCGGGACGAAAGGCCUUCUUGCGAAUAGUGAGAAGGAUUGACGGUACCGGAAUAGAAAGCCACGGCUAACUACGUG